CGGUUACAUGCACGCCAAUAUCCUGUUAUUAUUCAGGUUACCACGGUUACAUGCACGCCAAUAUCCUGUUAUUAUUCAGGUUACCACGGUUACAUGCACGCCAAUAUCCUGUUAUUAUUCAGGUUACCACGGUUACAUGCACGCCAAUAUCCUGUUAUUAUUCAGGUUACCACGGUUACAUGCACGCCAAUAUCCUGUUAUUAUUCAGGUUACCACGGUUACAUGCACGCCAAUAUCCUGUUAU